GAAAUGCGAUAAGUAAUGUGAAUUGCAGAAUCCAGUGAAUCAUCGAAUCUUUGAACACACAUUGCGCCCGCCAGCAUUCUGGCGGGCAUGCCUGUUCGAGCGUCAUUUCAACCCUCGACCUCCCCUUGGGGAGGUCGGCGUUGGGGACCGGCAGCACACCGCCGGCCCUGAAAUGGAGUGGCGGCCCGUCCGCGGCGACCUCUGCGUAGUAAUACAGCUCGCACCGGAACCCCGACGCGGCCACGCCGUAAAACACCCAACUUCUGAACGUUGACCUCGAAUCAGGUAGGACUACCCGCUGAACUUAAGC
rnacentral:misc_RNA from 1 species